rnacentral:rRNA from 1 species
GACAGAGGUGGCGAGCGUUGUUCGGAAUUACUGGGCUUAAAGGGCGCGUAGGCGGUGGUGCAAGUCUGAGGUGGAAUGCUACGGCUUAACCGUAGAGCUGCCUUGGAAACUGCAUUACUUGAGUCGGUUAGGGGAUGGCGGAAUUCCUGGUGUAGCGGUGAAAUGCGUAGAUAUCAGGAGGAAGGUCUGUGGCGAAGGCGGCCAUCUGGGAUUUGACUGACGCUGAGGCGCGAAAGCGUGGGGAG